UACAGAGGGUGCAAGCGUUGUUCGGAAUCAUUGGGCGUAAAGGGCGUGUAGGCGGUUUGUUAAGUCAUGUGUGAAAUCCCACGGCUUAACCGUGGAACUGCCUGUCAGACUGCAUGGCUUGAGACCAGGAGAGGUGAGUGGAAUUCCCAGUGUAGCGGUGAAAUGCGUAGAUAUUGGGAGGAACGCCAGUGGCGAAGGCGGCUCACUGGACUGGUACUGACGCUGAGGCGCGAAAGCGUGGGGAGCAAACAGGG
rnacentral:rRNA from 1 species